UAGCACAGUGCUAGAGUAGUUGUCUACCAAGCAAAAGAUCCGAGUUCAAAUCUCGG
rnacentral:tRNA from 1 species